rnacentral:lncRNA from 1 species
ACUCACGAAGGGCCGUAUAACAAUUAAGCUAAAUGUGGAACUUUAAAACAACUGCUGAACACUAAUAAUUUAAAUACAAGUUCAAACAGACCCAUUGAAAUCACAACUGCUCUCAGGCUACUAAUGCUUACUGUACUAACUUAUUAAUGGGGGGAUAUGUCAGUAGUGAAAAGAAUUGCUGAAUAUUCUGUUGGUUGACAAAUGUUCAUUAAAACCUACUCAACUUUUUUUUUUUUCUAAACCAAUAUAUUCUAUUUAUAUUUCAUACCAACUGCUGGAAACUCUCUUUCCAGGGAUUUGGAUGUUCAUACUCUUCUGGAUUAAUCUGGUAGAAUUUUCCAGGUUCAGGAUGCAUCAUAGGGCGAGUAUAUUCAAAUACUUCCAUAUAUAAUCGUUUCCUGAACAGAGAAAGGAAUUAAAAUUUUCUUGAUAAAAUGUCCUUUAGAUUAAUACAGUUUUGAACAACUAUAACAAUUAUUUGAGGCCUCAAAAACUUGAGUAAGAAAGUAAGAAUAGACAAAAAUGAAUAUUAAAUCACAGGAUUUUUUUUUUUGAGACACAGUCUCACUGUCAUCCAGGCUAGAAUGCAAGUGGCAUGAUCUCGGCUCACUGCAACCUCCCUCUCCCAGGUUCAAGUGAUUCUUCAGCCUCAGCCUCCUGAGUAGCUGAGAUUAUGGGCAUGCGUCACCACGCACAGCUAAAAACAGGAUUUAAAACGUGAAAACGUAUUUUUCACAUUUAAAAUUUUCAGUGUAGUUGCAUAUGGAAAUUAUGUUUUUUUUUCUUUUUCUUCUUUGAGACAUAGUCUAUUUCU